UACGUAGGUCUCGAGCGUUAUCCGGUUUUAUUGGGCGUAAAGCGUGUGCAGGCGCCCCGUAAAGUCUCUGAUUAAAAUCCAAAGCUCAACUUUGGACCGUUGGAGAUACUCACGGGGUUGAGGAAGCUAGGGGGUACUGGAACUGGCGGAGGAGCAGUGAAAUGCGAUGAUACCGUCUUGAACACCAAGGGCGAAGGCAAGUACCUGGGGCUUUUCUGACGCUCAGACACGAAAGCGUGGGGAGC
rnacentral:rRNA from 1 species